rnacentral:rRNA from 1 species
AACGAACGCUGGCGGCGUGGAUUAGGCAUGCAAGUCGUACGCGAAAGAGGGGGCAACCCCUUGAGUAGAGUGGCGAACGGGUGAGUAACGCGUGAGGAACCUGCCUUCGACAGGGGGAUAACACUCCCAACGGGGUGCUAAUACCGCAUGAGACCACGGGGCUGCAUGGCCCUGAGGUCAAAGAUGGCCUCUAUUUAUAAGCUAUCGGUCGAAGAUGGCCUCGCGUCCCAUUAGCUAGUUGGCGGUGUAAAAGACCACCAAGGCGACGAUGGGUAGCCGGCCUGAGAGGGUGAACGGCCACACUGGGACUGAGAUACGGCCCAGACUCCUACGGGAGGCAGCAGUCGGGAAUCUUCCACAAUGGGCGAAAGCCUGAUGGAGCGACGCCGCGUGAGUGAUGAAGGUCUUCGGAUCGUAAAGCUCUGUUACCAGGGAUGAAACAAGACGGUACCUGGGGAGGAAGCCACGGCUAACUACGUGCCAGCAGCCGCGGUAAGUG